rnacentral:rRNA from 1 species
GUAGGGAAUAUUGGACAAUGGGGGCAACCCUGAUCCAGCGACGCCGCGUGAGUGAUGAAGGCCUUCGGGUCGUAAAGCUCUGUUGCAGGGGAAGAACACAAUGACGGUACCCUACUAGAAAGGAUCGGCUAACUUCGUGCCAGCAGCCGCGGUAAGACGAGGGAUCCUAGCGUUGUUCGGAAUUAUUGGGCGUAAAGCGGGUGCAGGUGGCUUGGUAAGUCAGAUGUGAAAGCCUGGGGCUUAACCCCAGAAGUGCAUUUGAUACUGCUGAGCUUGAGUGCUGGAGAGGCUAUUAGAAUUCCUGGUGUAGUGGUGAAAUACGUAGAUAUCAGGAGGAAUACCGGAGGCGAAGGCGGAUAGCUGGCCAGACACUGACACUCAGACCCGAAAGCGUGGGGAUCAAACAGGAUUAGAAACCCGAGUAGUCC